AACGUGACCUCCUACCUCUUCCCUUUAGCCCCCUCCCCAUGUUUCUUUUUCAUAAAUAAAGGGGGAGUAUAUAUACACAAGAGAGAUAUACGGGAAAGACAGAAAAAAAUAGAGGAGAGACUCCAUUUUUCUUUUCCAACUUUUGAAGAUAAAUAUACACGCACAGGGGAGAAAGGGACUAUCUUCUCUUCUUCCAUAUAGCAUAUACCAUAUACACCACCUCACACACUCAAAAUUGCUACACACACAGAGAAUACUCCAAAGGAAAAAAAGUCUUCACCAUGGAUUGAACAUAGACCCACUUACGAAGUUCUCAUCAUCCAUCGGCACUCCCCUAGAUAACAACAACAACACAGAUUCCCAUUUAUGAUAGGCACACACACAGUGGAGGUCAAUUGGAUUUGAGCGUGAGAGAAGAAAGAAAAAUGUGAAAGAGAGAAACUGAUGGCGAGAUAGUUUGUUUCCAUUGAAAUUCUCAUCGGAAUUGCAUCAGAAAAUACUCCCCGUCACUAUUUUGUUACUGUUACGGUGGAUUUGUGACCUGAAAACACCAUGAGCUCUGUUUCUAACCGGAUUUGUACAAUUUCGGUUGAAUUUAAUACUGAAUUGAAUUUCAUUUUAUGUCGAGGUUCGAUUUGAGGUUUCUCGGGCGCGAUUCUAUCUCCGAUAUAUUGAAUUCGACACUUGAGGUCCAAUUCUUUCACUCCUUUUUGUUUUGUUUCGAUUUGGUGCAUUGAUGUUAUGAUUGUGUUGUUGGUUGGUGAUUGGAUGAUCUUGUUGAUGUUCGAUAUUGUUUAUCCAUGAAUAAUUAAUCAUGGUCUGAAUUGAUGUUAGCAUGUGUUUGGAUAAUCGUUGUGUGUGAAAAGGCGAGGUGUAAAAGGGAAUUUGGGAUCGAAUUGAGAAAUUCAUAAAAAUAGUGAAUUUAGAUUAAUUUUGAUUUAUCAUUGUGUUGUUUGAUUCAGAAUAAAUAUCAAGUUUGCGAACUCGAUAGGAUCAUAUUUUAGACCGAAAGCUUAGUAAGGCAGGUUUAGGUUUGGGUAGGCAAAUUUAGGACUUGUGGAAUAUUGAGUGAUAGAAAUAUGUGCCGAAUGGCUUGAUUUUAUUACUUUUUGGAUCAAAUGUAUCAUUUGGUCGGGGAAUGCCUCGAGAUGUUUGUGUUUAUUCGUCGAGGAAUGCACCGAAUUAUUUUGUACUCGGAGGACAUUCGUGACGAAGGCCCGAUGCAUCAGGUAAAGCAUUGGAGCACAAUUUAGGAUUAGUGUAGGUUAAAAUAGGAUUUAUAUUUUUUGCAUUUUUUUUAUUUUGGACUGUAUAAUCGGGCUGGACAUUGUAUUUUUGGGAUUUGUUUUGCUUGUGUUUGUUUGUUUAAUUGUUUGUGAGUUUUAUGUGGUUUAUACACUCUUAGUAUCGAAUUAGCCGAUAUGCUCAACGAAGCGACCGUGGUCAGACCACGGGAUCGAGGGGUGCAUAAUACCUUCCCCUCGGUCAACAAAAUUCCUUAACCGAAAUCUCUGUUCGCAAACCAAUUUUAAAGAGUCAAAUCAUUUUGAAAAGAAUUUUCCAAAGGUGACUUGACACACCGGAUUAUGAAAAGUGGCGACUUUGAAUUAAUUGAAAAAAUGAAUGCUUUUUCGAAACAAAUCUUUAUUUUGUCACUUUACUAAUAAAAAUCCUUUUAAACUUUAAAAUCAUAUCUUUUGAUUAAAAAAGGGGUGUGAUGGCGUCGAUUUCUUAUGGUGAGAAUUUGACAUUAUAUAUAGAGAUGGGCAUGAUGUGGUAGAUAUAAAAUAUCAUAUUGAAAUUGAAAUUUUUGACAUUGUGAUUUUGAUAUUAUGUUAUUUAAUAUGGAAUUCUGUAUGCAUUUUUAAAAAUUGGUAUUUGGUCGUAUUUGAUAUUUAGACGGAGAGUACCGAAAUAUUCAUUAUCAUACUCAAGUACGUAAUUGCCUAUCCAAUUUAUAUAUAUUACUACAAUACUAAAUAUAUAAAAUAAUAUUAAAAGCUUUUUAUUUGGAGGUUGAAAUUUUGAUUAUCCUAUUUUGAUUGAAAUAUCUUUUUGGUGUAAUUGAUUAAUGAAGGAAAAUGCAUGCGUGUACUUUCUUUUGAAUAUUUCUACAUGUAUAAGGUCUUAGUAGAAUAUACUCCAAUUGAGAUGUUUAUUGAAAAACUGCAGUCAUAAUUUUCUAUUAUAUUAAUAUACAUAAGUCGAUGUAAAAACAAACUAUGGUUAUCGAUUUAAUGUGGCUGCAAAAUACGAAUCGGUCUUUAAAGUACCAAAUUAUACCAAAUUAAUUAAUUGAUAUUGUAAUUAUAUAGUAUUUUUAAAAUCAAAAAUUAAAAUUACCGAACUAACUUAGUUUUCAAUAUCAUACCCACCCCGAGUUCUUUUUUUUUAGGCAAAAGUCCAUCGAAGGUGGAUGUUGGGGUUUAUGCAUAACCCAGACCAGUAUAUGAUCAAAAAUAAUUAAGUACACGGAGAAGGACAUGGACCAUAGCUCCCAUAACAAGAUGAACAGUGAUAUUAGUCACUCAUGUAUUUGAGACUGCUUUGAAACUUAGAGUAGAGAUAGAUAAGUGUCCUCAAUGAAAGAAGGAUGAUGGGGGGUUAGCAUUAGAAAAUAUGCAUAUCAUGACUAUACAAAAGUCAGGGGGCUCCAUAGUUAAGAUUAGGGUUGGACAUAUUUUGGUUUAAACCGAAAAAACCAAAAAACCAAAUCGAAAUUUAAUUUUAGUUUGUUUUUUUGGUUUUUCGAAUUGGUUUCGGUUUCAAAUUUUAGAAAUUUGGUUAAACGAUUUGGUUUUUGGAUUUACAAAAAAAGAAUUCGGAUAAAUCGAAAAAUCGAAAUUAUAUAAAUAAUAUAUUAUAAUAUAUAUAUAGAAUUUAAUAUAUAUGUAAAUAUACUAAAAAUAUAAUCUGAUAUAACAUAUAAAUAUAUAAAUUAUAAUCAUUUAGUAACCCUAAAUCCUAAUAUACUACUUUGCUUUAGACCCUAACAUUAACGUGAAGGCUGCAGCAGCGCUCAACCAUCCUUAGUUCGUCAAUUCAUUUGAAAUUUCAACAUCGCCAACGACAGUCGUUUGCUCAGUUUAUCAAUGCCGUCGGCAUCGCUGCCGAGUGCGGCCACUGCCGUCACACCAACGGCGAUGACUCAGCGAGGUCGAUAUUUAUGGUUAUUUCAUGCAUGUUGAAUUAAUUAUAUUUGGGAAUGAAAAAUAGGUGUGAAAAAAAUAUUAUUUUUUAAAAAUCACCAAUUUUAAAUGCUCACUACUUUAAUCUUUAAAAUCAAAAUAAAAAUCCGAAAUAACCGAACCGAAUUUGUAAAAAUCAAACCAAACCGAAAUAAUUUUGGUUUGGUUAUGGUUUUCAUUUUCGUCAAUCUGAAAAUCGAAAAACCAAACCGAUAUUCAACAAUCAAACCGAAUAAACCGAAUGCCACCCCUAGUUAAGAUAACUAAAAAUAAAGUGAUUCUUCCUUGACUUGAUUUUGAUGUUUUGUAGGCUUUGUUGAUCCACCCUAAGAGCAACUUUCAUUGAUUUCAGCAAAGAUUGAUAGCUAGCAAAGUUCAUAUGCCUUAUCUUCUUUUUUCCUAGGUUGGAAAGUUGGUGGACAAUCAUGUUGUGUUUUUUGAUUUUGAUGAUCUACAAAUAAGAGUUCAAGGAACCUGGUUUGUGCUGCACUAAUUUAGAAUUCAAAAAGAAACUUUGUAUAGAUGUAAAUCGUACUGUCUGUUUUGGAUGGUAGCACUGUAGUAGUGAUGCAGUUGGUCUGUGAAAACCUCGACCAAUGGUGUUCUUCCUGGGUUUUUCUCUCCCC
rnacentral:lncRNA from 1 species